GUUGAUCAACCCUGCUGAAACUUUUGGCAACAUAGUUAUCGAUUACCUAUAUGUUGAAUGCACCUCAGCAGCAAUUCAGGCACUAGCCUCAUUCAGGAAAUUAUAUCCUGAACAUAGAACAGAAGAAAUUCAAAAUUGUAUUGGUAGAGCUGUUGGGUUUAUCGAAAAGAUGCAGGCAGAAGAUGGCUCCUGGUAUGGAUCCUGGGGCAUCUGCUUCAGUUAUGCAGGAU